UACGAAGGGAGCAAGCGUUGUCCGGAUUUAUUGGGCGUAAAGAGCGUGUAGGCGGCUAGACAGGUCCGUUGUGAAAACUGGAGGCUUAACCUCCAGACGUCGAUGGAAACCGUCUGGCUAGAGUCCGGAAGAGGAGAGUGGAAUUCCUGGUGUAGCGGUGAAAUGCGCAGAUAUCAGGAAGAACACCCGUGGCGAAGGCGGCUCUCUAGUACGGUACUGACGCUGAGACGCGAAAGCGUGGGGAGCGAACAGG
rnacentral:rRNA from 1 species